UGCCCAGCAACUCCUAUCCCUACCUCCUCGUGGUAGCGGCCGGAAACUAUGAGCCACCUUAGGGAACCUUACGCGGAUUCCCGGAUAAACUGAUACGGUUGA
rfam:Aedes albopictus isolate Foshan contig139291, whole genome shotgun sequence.